GCUUAUUCAUAUUUAAGAAGACUGAAGCCCAGAGCAGGGCAGUGCCCACAUUCUGUGCAUGACUCAUGCUGCAGCUGGAGGGUGCUCAGGAAGUCACUGUGCCAACAGCAAAGCUUGGAAAGUAGCCAAAAGAAAACAUUUAUGAUGGGAGAAAGCAGUGCAGUAGGACAUGCCUUGCCACUGCGGCACAUACCUGGUCAGGGGCUGGAUAUUGCCCUUGAAUGGGGCCCUGCUGGAGAGACAGGCAGAGGAGCACCCACAACUCCCUGAGAAAGCUGGACAUGAGGUUCUUUGGAGAAUUUUUCCACCAACAGGACUGACAGCCUUUUGAAGCCAUGUGCUUUAUUUCAGAGACCCAGAGGCUGAAAGUUCCUAUUUAUCCACAAGGCAAGCAUUGGCUCUCCAUUGACUUUAUAAACAUUUGUGUGGUAACCAUUCAGCAUUUCUCAAGGUUGACUCAUUGGAGUGCAGGAGAAGCCGGAGACAGCCCUGAGACCAGAAGAGAUGAUGAACAGAGGUACAAGGUCAUGACAAAUGUAGUGUGGCUACACAGAAGUGGUGCAACUGGAGCUCCCUCAGGGCAUGAGAAGCGAGCAGAAGCAAGAGGAGCACAUAGUGACCUUCACCUUGUGUAAUGGAGGUACACGUCUGUUUGCCCUGCAGCAGUGAAGGCCACCCUUGAAUUACAGAUGGUAUGGAACAGAACUACUUAUUUUGAUCUAGUACUCUGUGAAAAAUUGGGAAUUACCAUUUCCUAGGCUCUAUCUCAUACCUUUUCUGACCAUGAAGGCUUCAGUCACAUUUUCCUCACUUCUCCCUUGAGAAUCCUCCUAACUUUUGUACCUCUUCACCAAUAACAUCUGUACACUGAGAAAACACAACUGCAAUUUUGACAGGGGUGUUCAGGAACUUUGAGAUUGGGAUUGGUUGCUUCCUCUUAUCCAGUUUAUCUCCUUCCUCAAGUUACUAUUUCUCACUUGACUUCAGAGCCAAGCUGCGUUACACCUGCUGCGUUCACCCACAGAGACACUGUCUAUGUGCUGCAGACUCAUUCAUCUCGAUUCUUCUUGAGCUGUCGAAAAUGGCAUCACUUUCUGAGGUAAGUGAGAUUUCGGAAUUAAACUUCUCACUGUGUCUGUUUCCAGACUCUCCUCUCCAUGUCCCUUUUCCACCUACGCUGCAGGCUGCCUUUUCCAGCAGGCUGCAAUCCUUAGCAGUCAGAUUAUGCACUUUGGUGGCACAAAGACUCAGCACCACAAAACGCAGAUAUAAGCCCGAUGGUGUGCAGAAGCGCCAAUCCCCUUCUGAAAGAAGUUAGACUUUACACCAAAAAAAGUACACUGAACUUGGAAAUACACACUAAAAGAAGAGAAACAAACCUCUGUACUCCAAGAGUGGUAUAUUAUUUAAAAGCUGUCAUUGCCUAGAGAGACAAAGGUGUUACAUGCUCACUCUACAGCACUAUUCUGAGGGGCAUCAGUAGACCUCUUCCACCAAUCCCCUCUUGAGUGCCACUCUUGUUUUUCCUAGGAAAGGUGUGAGCUGACCCUGAGACUUUAGAAAGUCACCUCACAAAGGGCACCACAGUGAGGUGAGAUAGGAAGGGAACUUGUACACGCGGUCAGCAAGAGCAAUACUGUGAGAAAGCCAGACACCAGUCAUUGCAGCUUAGCAGUAUUUAAAGAGUGAAGUAAAGCUGGAGCAUUAGCCAAGAAAUGAAGUCAUGCUGUAUGGCACAAGGGCACCUUCUAACCAAAGCCUUAUAUGACUCAAUUGCUGGUAC
ensembl:lncRNA